UACGAAGGGGGCUAGCGUUGCUCGGAAUCACUGGGCGUAAAGGGUGCGUAGGCGGGUCUUUAAGUCAGGGGUGAAAUCCUGGAGCUCAACUCCAGAACUGCCUUUGAUACUGAAGAUCUUGAGUUCGGGAGAGGUGAGUAGAACUGCGAGUGUAGAGGUGAAAUUCGUAGAUAUUCGCAAGAACACCAGUGGCGAAGGCGGCUCACUGGCCCGGUACUGACGCUGAGGUGCGAAAGCGUGGGGAGCAAACAGG
rnacentral:rRNA from 1 species